UUGUCGAUAAAGUAUUUCCCUUAAUUCAUGGCUACAUAGUUACAUGAGCGAUUGAUUAUAUAAUACAUUUAAAUGACACUAUAAGUUGUAUUAGUCUUUUAUUAAAUUUUCAUUUUUACGAAUCUUGAUUUGCUAGCUAGUGUCUGUUUAUCACCAAAAAUGAACAAUCAAACGGACAAGCUGCCUUUCUCAACGCUCACAACUCAAUAGA
rnacentral:lncRNA from 1 species